rnacentral:rRNA from 1 species
UACGUAGGCAGCAAGCGUUGUUCGGAGUUACUGGGCGUAAAGGGUGUGUAGGCGGUUGUUUAAGUUUGGGGUGAAAUCUCCCGGCUCAACUGGGAGGGUGCGCCGAAUACUGAAUGACUAGAGUGCGGGAGAGGAAAGUGGAAUUCCUGGUGUAGCGGUGAAAUGCGUAGAUAUCAGGAGGAACACCGGUGGUGUAGACGGCUUUCUGGACCGUAACUGACGCUGAGACACGAAGGCCAGGGGAGCAAACGGG